UUGUAUCUAUCUUCAGAUAAAACCUCUAUUUAGGCCAACAAAGGACAUAAUGAGCAUUCGACGUGUUAAUUAUGGCUGGCAUGCAUUUUUUCCCAAUGCUCGAAAUAACUAUAGUGCAGUAGUUGCACUCUGGGCUCCUGUACUUUUGGUUUAUUUCAUGGACACUCAAAUUUGGUAUGCACUCUUCUCAACUUUGUGCGGCGGUCUUGUUGGAGCCUUUGAU